AUACGGAGGGUGCAAGCGUUAUCCGGAAUCAUUGGGUUUAAAGGGUCCGUAGGCGGGCUAAUAAGUCAGGGGUGAAAUCCCACAGCUUAACUGUGGAACUGCCCUUGAUACUGUUGGUCUUGAGUUACAGUGAAGUGGUUAGAAUGUGUAGUGUAGCGGUGAAAUGCAUAGAGAGUGCACAGAAUACCGAUUGCGAAGGCAGAUCACUAACUGUAUACUGACGCUAAUGGACGAAAGCGUGGGGAGCGAACAGGAUUAGAAACCCUAGUAGUCC
rnacentral:rRNA from 1 species